rnacentral:rRNA from 1 species
UGUAGUUCCGUUAUUCUCGGCGUUCUACUUCUACUUUUCCUUCUCCUUUUCGAUGAAAUUGCUGUUCUUCGUUUUGCAUUUAUUUAACAUAGAAUUGUUGCGGUCACUCCUCCUGGCUGGGUGAAUGUUGUCCUUUUUGCCUGGGCUACUGGGGAAUCCACGUCAGCACUCCAAAGAAGGUUUUCUGCGGGCUGGCCUGACAGAAACUGUGAUCCACCAAUGGGCAAUGCUAUGCCGAUAAGUAUUUUCCUCUUCCGGAAAAUCUGUUUUUUUCUCAAACAAUUUUAUUUUAUAGCCGACCGUGAAUUUUGUUUGUUAAUAACUCGCGGGAGUUUCUUCGGCACAAUUUAACCAACGAAUAUUUUUUAGCAAAAUUUUGAUUUUGCUCCGCGACUUAGAAUUUUGUCUUUCGUUCGCGUUUAUUCGCUGGUCCCUGUUCGGGCGCCAGUUAAUAAUUACAGUUAUCGAUUUGAUUUUGAAGAUCGCAAGCGACCGUUUAUUGCAAUUUAUCAUUUGAAACUAAAUCUAGCGUACAAAAUGUUUCCCUAAGUCCCUAGCAAUCAAGUGAAGUCGUCGGCAGCGGCGCAGCAGGCGUCGGCCGCGGCGCAGCGCAGAAGUGUCGAUGUCGCGCUUAACCGUUCGUUGGCGUUGAUGGCAGCGGAGACUAUGUGGAACCACAAGAUGUUAGAGAAUCAAUUGCAGGGCAAUAACUUGUAUGUAAGCGUAUUACCGGUGGAGUUCUUAUAUGUGAUUAAAUACUUGUAUUUUUUCAUAUGUUCCUCCUAUUUAAAAACCUGCAUUAGUGCUCUUAAACGAGUGUUAUUGUGGGCCGGUACUAUUACUUUGAACAAAUUAGAGUGCUUAAAGCAGGCUUCAAAUGCCUGAAUAUUCUGUGCAUGGAUAAUGAAAUAAGACCUCUGUUCUGCUUUCAUUGGUUUUCAGAUCAAGAGGUAAUGAUUAAUAGAAGCAGUUUGGGGGCAUUAGUAUUACGACGCGAGAGGUGAAAUUCUUGGACCGUCGUAAGACUAACUUAAGCGAAAGCAUUUGCCAAAGAUGUUUUCAUUAAUCAAGAACGAAAGUUAGAGGUUCGAAGGCGAUCAGAUACCGCCCUAGUUCUAACCAUAAACGAUGCCAGCUAGCAAUUGGGUGUAGCUACUUUUAUGGCUCUCUCAGUCGCUUCCCGGGAAACCAAAGCUUUUGGGCUCCGGGGGAAGUAUGGUUGCAAAGCUGAAACUUAAAGGAAUUGACGGAAGGGCACCACCAGGAGUGGAGCCUGCGGCUUAAUUUGACUCAACACGGGAAAACUUACCAGGUCCGAACAUAAGUGUGUAAGACAGAUUGAUAGCUCUUUCUCGAAUCUAUGGGUGGUGGUGCAUGGCCGUUCUUAGUUCGUGGAGUGAUUUGUCUGGUUAAUUCCGAUAACGAACGAGACUCAAAUAUAUUAAAUAGAUAUCUUCAGGAUUAUGGUGCUGAAGCUUAUGUAGCCUUCAUUCAUGUUGGCAGUAAAAUGCUUAUUGUGUUUGAAUGUGUUUAUGUAAGUGGAGCCGUACCUGUUGGUUUGUCCCAUUAUAAGGACACUAGCUUCUUAAAUGGACAAAUUGCGUCUAGCAAUAAUGAGAUUGAGCAAUAACAGGUCUGUGAUGCCCUUAGAUGUCCUGGGCUGCACGCGCGCUACAAUAAAAGUAUCAACGUGUAUUUCCUAGACCGAGAGGUCCGGGUAAACCGCUGAACCACUUUCAUGCUUGGGAUUGUGAACUGAAACUGUUCACAUGAACUUGGAAUUCCCAGUAAGUGUGAGUCAUUAACUCGCAUUGAUUACGUCCCUGCCCUUUGUACACACCGCCCGUCGCUACUACCGAUUGAAUUAUUUAGUGAGGUCUCCGGACGUGAUCACUGUGACGCCUUGCGUGUUACGGUUGUUUCGCAAAAGUUGACCGAACUUGAUUAUUUAGAGGAAGUAAAAGUCGUAACAAGGUUUCCGUAGGUGAACCUGCGGAAG